GCCAUAUUACAUGGAAACAUCAGUUCCCAUACAACAGUUAAGCAAUGUUUAGCCUGAUUAGUACCUAGAUAGGUGACCACUUGGGAAUAACAGGUGCUGCAAG